rnacentral:lncRNA from 1 species
UUUUUCUAGAGUUCUUCUCCUACUCUUCUUUUCCUCCUUUAGAUGACUUCAUCCUUUAGAGUAUCUAAGGUUCUUAAAGAAAAAAGAAGAGAUUAGCUGUUGAAGUUUCUUACAGGCUAGCACCUCCAAGCCCCUGAUUUGCGUCAGUCUUCGUGUGGAUUUUCUCGUAGAGGCCAGACGACUUUGUGUGGCUAUGAGUGAUCUGAGGAAUAUCUUCUCCAAAUGUUGGACCAGCAA